rnacentral:lncRNA from 1 species
GGCUCAAGUGGUAGCGCGCUCACCUGGCAUGCGUGCCGCCCGGGUUCGAUCCUCAGCACUACAUACAAACAAAGAUGUUGUGUCUGCCGAAAACUAAAAAAUAAAUAUUAAAAUUCUCUCUCUAAAUAAAUAAAUAAACACAGGUUUGGUUUUUAGCAAUGACCUAAAUGUUUUCAUCCAGCUAUUUUAUGUAUAAAAAUAAAAGCUUAAAGGACAAACCCAAAUAAAAUUCUAUCAUUUCUAUCAUAUCACUAACAUGAGAACAACGGUUGCUUACUCAAUAACAUUUUUAGGUACUCUCUUGAAUGCAUGUCAAGUUUAGAUAUCUCGAGUUUUAAGCAUAUAAUGCUUCCCUCAGGAAUUUCUCCCAUAUCCUGAGUAUAAGGAAAUUCUUUAUUCAAAAGAAAUAAGAUAUACUAACUAUAAAAAUAUAAUAGGAGGUGUCACAUUUGUCCUAUUGCUCCUUCCUUUUACAAACAGCUAAAUAAUAAUUUUAUAGUGUCUUUUGCUCUUAACCUCACAAGAAGACAACCAAGACAGUGACUAUCAUAAAAAUACCAUUACAGCCAUUUUCAGUCAGUCUGUUGUUGAAAAACUGGCAGAAUUUUUCUUGAAUGAAUAAAAUUUAAGCAUAUAAUUUAAUCUGAGCAGCAUUUUCUCAAUACUACAUUAGCAACCAACCAAUAGUAUGAUUUUAUAAAUGGUUAAUGUAAGAUCUGAGUGGAGAGAAAUUUACCUUUGUCAACUUCUUUCAUGUGCCUUCCUCUACUCAAAGGGGAACCUCAUGUCUAGGAUAAACCUUAUAUCCAUUUUUAUGUAAUACAUGGUAAAACAAAGUUCUAGUUGGUCAUUUUAUAACAUUCUAGAUGUUAGCUGGCACAUGUGGUUGGUAUUCUGAUUCUAUUUGUAGACAAAAUGAAAGAAAAACUUAAAAAAAAAUAAAUGUUACCAGGGUUUAUACAUGUGUGAUUUUAGUGGGAAAGCCUCAUUUUUGUUUUCAAGUAACCCCAAUAUACACAAAUCUUCUAUUGAGGUAAGUACAUGUGUAUGUCAGUAAUGUUUGGCAGACUAUAAUACUUAAGAACAAAAUAGAUCAAGUCAGGUAUUUCACACGUUUUCAGUCUUUAGAAAUAGUCUCUUGUUCACCAGAGUGCUUCCUUCAGCCAAGCAAUUUUAAUGAUACGCCCCAGAGUAACUUGACAUAAGCACUUAGAGCUCUCUCAGCCCAGUUCUCUCCAUAAAUGUAACAUAUUACUAUUUCAAGUGGCAUAUUUGAUACUGUUGCCCCAUACCAAGUAAAUCUCAAGAUUUAUUUUAAGACAAACUUCUUCACUGCUUGAAGUUUCUGGCAUUUAAAUAUACGUAAGUUUUUAAAAUGGCGAUCUUAAAUGUCUUAUGC